rnacentral:rRNA from 1 species
CAGUAGUCACGUAGUUUGAUCAUGGCUCAGAACGACGCUGGCGGCAUGCCUAACACAUGCAAGUCGAACGAGACCUUCGGGUCUAGUGGCGCACGGGUGCGUAACACGUGGGAAUUUGCCUCGGGGUAUGGAAUAACUCAGGGAAACUUGAGCUAAUACCAUAUAAUGUCUUCGGACCAAAGAUUUAUCGCCCUGAGAUAAGCCCGCGUAGGAUUAGCUAGUUGGUGGGGUAAAGGCUCACCAAGGCGACGAUCCUUAGCUGGUCUGAGAGGAUGAUCAGCCACACUGGGACUGAGACACGGCCCAGACUCCUACGGGAGGCAGCAGUGGGGGAAUAUUGGACAAUGGGCGAAAGCCUGAUCCAGCAAUGCCGCGUGAGUGAUGAAGGCCUUCGGGUUGUAAAGCUCUUUUACUCGGGACGAUAAUGACGGUACCGAGAGAAUAAGCCCCGGCUAACUCCGUG